AAGGCGACGACGGGUAGCCGGCCUGAGAGGGUGUCCGGCCACACUGGGACUGAGAUACGGCCCAGACUCCUACGGGAGGCAGCAGUGGGGAAUAUUGCACAAUGGGCGCAAGCCUGAUGCAGCGACGCCGCGUGGGGGAUGACGGCCUUCGGGUUGUAAACCUCUUUCACCAUCGACGAAGGUCCGGGAUUUCUCGGAUUGACGGUAGGUGGAGAAGAAGCACCGGCCAACUACGUGCCAGCAGCCGCGGUAAUACGUAGGGUGCGAGCGUUGUCCGGAAUUACUGGGCGUAAAGAGCUCGUAGGUGGUUUGUCGCGUUGUUCGUGAAAUCUCACGGCUUAACUGUGAGCGUGCGGGCGAUACGGGCAGACUAGAGUACUGCAGGGGAGACUGGAAUUCCUGGUGUAGCGGUGGAAUGCGCAGAUAUCAGGAGGAACACCGGUGGCGAAGGCGGGUCUCUGGGCAGUAACUGACGCUGAGGAGCGAAAGCGUGGGGAGCGAACAGGAUUAGAUACCCUGGUAGUCCACGCCGUAAACGGUGGGUACUAGGUGUGGGUUUCCUUCCUUGGGAUCCGUGCCGUAGCU
rnacentral:rRNA from 1 species